rnacentral:rRNA from 1 species
AAGCCCAUUCGCGCUGAUGGUACUGCAACUUGGUGGUUGUGGGAGAGUAAGUGACUGCCGCAA